UUUAUUAAUUAACUGCACUGUUAUUGGACUUAAUAUGAUGAAAACUGCCUAUGCAAUAUAAUGUGUAGAUUGGGCCAAUACAGAAUAACUAGGCCAAUACAGAUUUUUCUGUAUUGGCCGAGUUAUUCUAUAUUGGCCGAGUUGACACAAGUGCAGGAUUUCGGAACGUCUCUAGGUUUUACAUCGAAAGUCACGAUAAACACAAAUUGAAAGUAAACAGUUGUUUUGAAGACGCAGUUGUCAUUUAGUUAUCUUAAACAUGCUGAAAAUGUCAGUAUGGCAUACAUUUCAGGCGAAAGACGGUCACAUUCAUUUAAAAGGUAUUUUGAAAGCAGACGUGACGUGACGAUAAAACUAUUUCAGGUUUGGGGAACGAGUAGAUUAUCACAAAGUUCAUUUCUUGACGACCUCAUAAUUUCACGAUUUUACACAUCGAUUUUAAAUUAGUUUCUGCAUUACACAUGCAAUGGCAGUACCUUUCCAAUUACUAUUUAUGUGUUGCGUCUAAAUUUAAGUUGUAACACUUUAUAGUGACUGAAAAGGGUAGAAAAAUUCAUCAG
rnacentral:lncRNA from 1 species